rnacentral:rRNA from 1 species
AUGUUCCCUACAGUUGUUAAAGUGCUAGAAUAUGUGGAAGAAGAAGACAGGGAUGACACAAAUAGAAGGCAGGCAUGUGGUCUUCUUGUUUAUUUCCAGUCUUUUGAUUUUGUGUUGUACUUACAACUUGUGUCAACUAUAUUGAUAAUCACAAACACAUUAUCAUUUGCCCUACAACGCAAGAAUCAGGACAUUGUGAAUGCCAUAAAUUGUGUGAAUUCAACCAAAGCCUCCUUGAAUGAUCUAAGGGGAAAUGGAUGGGAAUCUGUCCUACAAGAAGCAUAUGUCUUUUGUGACAAGCAUGACAUUUCCAAGUUGGAAACGGAAGACCAAUAUGUGAAUCCAAAGAAGCCACGGCAAAAAACAGGUAUCACUAAUAGGCAUCAUUAUGAAGUGGAUUGUUUUAAUGAUGUUAUUGAUUGGAUGCUUCAAGAACUUGAUAAUCGCUUCAAUGAGAAAAAUUCGGAACUACUUGUUUGCUCAGCGGCUUUGAGCCCAAAUGAAUCAUUUCGUGAUUUCAACUUAGAGCAUUUGAUGAGUCUAGCUAAACUUUAUCCAAAAGAUUUCGAUGAUGGAGAACUGAGGGACCUUAAACAUCACCUUCUUCUUUACAUUGCUGAUGUCUGA